rnacentral:misc_RNA from 1 species
UUAAGUUCAGCGGGUAGUCUCACCCGAUUUGAGGUCAAGGUUUGUGGGCCAAGUGGCAAUCACUUAACCCAUUGUCUUCUAUGAGACGGUUAGAAGCAGGAUCCAGAGCGAACAGUGCGAGAUCCAAGACGUAGAAAUAUCUUAUCACGUCAAGUAUCCGCAAAGCAGAUCCCACUAAUUCAUUUUAGAGGAGCUGGCUU